rnacentral:tRNA from 1 species
GCGCCCGUAGCUCAGGGGACAGAGCGAGCGGCUUCUAUCCGUUUGGUCGGGGGUUCGAAUCCUCCCGGGCGCG